rnacentral:rRNA from 1 species
UACGAAGGGGGCUAGCGUUGCUCGGAAUUACUGGGCGUAAAGCGCACGUAGGCGGCUCUUUAAGUCGGGGGUGAAAUCCUGGAGCUCAACUCCAGAACUGCCUUUGAUACUGGCGAUCUUGAGUCCGGGAGAGGUGAGUGGAACUGCGAGUGUAGAGGUGAAAUUCGUAGAUAUUCGCAAGAACACCAGUGGCGAAGGCGGCUCACUGGCCCGGUACUGACGCUGAGGUGCGAAAGCGUGGGGAGCAAACAGG